AUGUCAAGUUAUAAAUCGUCUCUGGGCCUAAUCUAUUAUUUUACAUUAUCAGAUCAAAACAAUUGUCUUCCGAUUUAUCCAUUUGGGAAUCAAUUCUUGGAAUUUCCUGCUGGAAUUCCUUUGGUUUCCCUUUAUUGUCUUCAGACAACUCCUUCUCCAUCACCUCCGUUGUUUGCUUCAAAAACAGUAAUCACAUGCCAGCCUCUUAUGAUAAGAAUUGCCUCAUUCUUAGUUGAUGGAGUUGCGCCUCACAGUGCCACAUUUGCUGACUCCUCGGUUAACAGUUUGUCGUGUACUCUCAAAGAGUUUGAUCUAUCAGUUCCAUUUGAUGCUGAAGAAAUUGUAAAGUGCAGUGCAACUAGGACCGCUUGCUCCGAGUAA
rnacentral:rRNA from 1 species